AUCAAUUGGCCUGGAGACCCCCAUGUUCCUAUAAGCCACUUUGGCAUGUGGGCUGAAGGCUACUCCUACCAAAUUCAUCUCCUUGAAGGACAGAAGCAUGAGGGAUUCAUAAAAGAGGUUCCAUUCCUAAUUGUGAAGCAGUAGAGACGAUGCAAGGAAUUAUCAAGCUUAGAGGAAUAAACUAACCAAAACUUCUUGAGCAAAAGCAGCGAGGACUGAAAUGAGAAGAUUGCUGCGACGGAUGAAGGGUUGGUGCUGUUGGAAAGCAGAUAGCAUCUUCUGUGGCCAGGAGUCUGCGCGCGACAUCACACUGAGGAGAGUGUCACGGAGAGAGAGAGCGC